AAGUAACACUUUGUGACACCUGACUGAAACUGUCUGACACAAUUUGAGGUUGCUGUAGCAAGAAAGUCUAACCUAUUCAUUGUUCCCUCUUAACGAGACAAGCCCUUAUAUAUACUUAAAUAGU